CCUACGGGUGGCUGCAGUGGGGGAUAUUGCACAAUGGGGGAAACCCUGAUGCAGCGACGCCGCGUGGGUGAAGAAGCGCCUCGGCGCGUAAAGCCCUGUCAGCAGGGAAGAAAAUGACGGUACCUGAAGAAGAAGCCCCGGCUAACUACGUGCCAGCAGCCGCGGUAAUACGUAGGGGGCAAGCGUUAUCCGGAUUUACUGGGUGUAAAGGGGGCGCAGACGGCGAUGCAAGCCAGGAGUGAAAGCCCGGGGCCCAACCCCGGGACUGCUCUUGGAACUGCGGGGCUAGAGUGCAGGAGGGGGAGGCGGAAUUCGUGGUGUAGCGGUGAAAUGCGGAGAUAUCAGGAGGAACACCGGUGGCGAAGGCGGCCUGCUGGACUGCAACUGACGUUGAGGCCCGAAAGCGUGGGGAGCGAACAGGAUUAGAUACCCCAGUAGUG
rnacentral:rRNA from 1 species